AGCUUUGUAGUUUAAGUUAAAAUUUUUGUCUGUGAUUCAAAAGAUUGUUGGGCUU
rnacentral:tRNA from 1 species